rnacentral:rRNA from 1 species
CCUACGGGGGGCUGCAGUGGGGAAUAUUGGACAAUGGGCGAAAGCCUGAUCCAGCCAUGCCGCGUGUGUGAAGAAGGCCUUCGGGUUGUAAAGCACUUUCAGUGGGGAAGAAAGCCUUGGGGCUAAUACCCUCGAGGAAGGACAUCACCCACAGAAGAAGCACCGGCUAACUCCGUGCCAGCAGCCGCGGUAAUACGGAGGGUGCGAGCGUUAAUCGGAAUUACUGGGCGUAAAGCGCGCGUAGGCGGUCUGAUAAGCCGGUUGUGAAAGCCCCGGGUUCAACCUGGGAACGGCAUCCGGAACUGUCAGGCUAGAGUGCAGGAGAGGAAGGUAGAAUUCCCGGUGUAGCGGUGAAAUGCGUAGAGAUCGGGAGGAAUACCAGUGGCGAAGGCGGCCUUCUGGACUGACACUGACGCUGAGGUGCGAAAGCGUGGGUAGCAAACAGGAUUAGAUACCCGUGUAGUC